GACGAACGCUGGCGGCGUGCUUAACGCAUGCAAGUCGAACGGCAAGGCCCUGCUUUUGUGGGGUGCUCGAGUGGCGAAAGGGUGAGUAACACGUGAGUAACCUGCCCUUGACUUUGGGAUAACUUCAGGAAACUGGGGCUAAUACCGGAUAGGAGCUCCUGCUGCAUGGUGGGGGUUGGAACGUCUCGGCGGUUGGGGAUGGACUCGCGGCUUAUCAGCUCGUUGGUGGGGUAGUGGCUUACCAAGGCUUUGACGGGUAGCCGGCCUGAGAGGGUGACCGGCCACAUUGGGACUGAGAUACGGCCCAGACGCCUACGGGAGGCAGCAGUGGGGAAUAUUGCACAGUGGGCGGAAGCCUGAUGCAGCAACGCCGCGUGCGGGAUGACGGCCUUCGGGUUGUAAACCGCUUUCGCCUGUGACGAAGCGUGAGUGACGGUAAUGGGUAAAGAAGCACCGGCUAACUACGUG
rnacentral:rRNA from 1 species